rnacentral:rRNA from 1 species
GCUUACGGCCAUACCACCCUGAGAACGCCCGAUCUCGUCCGAUCUCGGAAGCUAAGCAGGGUCGGGCCUGGUUAGUACUUGGAUGGGACACCGCCUGGGAAUACCAAGUGCUGUAAGCU